rnacentral:rRNA from 1 species
AGAGUUUGAUCAUGGCUCAGAUUGAACGCUGGCGGCAUGCCUUACACAUGCAAGUCGAACGGCAGCGCGGGGCAACCUGGCGGCGAGUGGCGAACGGGUGAGUAAUAUAUCGGAACGUACCCUGGAGUGGGGGAUAACGUAGCGAAAGUUACGCUAAUACCGCAUACGAUCUAAGGAUGAAAGCAGGGGACCGCAAGGCCUUGUGCUCCUGGAGCGGCCGAUAUCUGAUUAGCUAGUUGGUGGGGUAAAGGCCUACCAAGGCAUCGAUCAGUAGCUGGUCUGAGAGGACGACCAGCCACACUGGAACUGAGACACGGUCCAGACUCCUACGGGAGGCAGCAGUGGGGAAUUUUGGACAAUGGGCGCAAGCCUGAUCCAGCAAUGCCGCGUGAGUGAAGAAGGCCUUCGGGUUGUAAAGCUCUUUUGUCAGGGAAGAAACGGUGGGAGCUAAUAUCUCUUGCUAAUGACGGUACCUGAAGAAUAAGCACCGGCUAACUACGUGCCAGCAGCCGCGGUAAUACGUAGGGUGCAAGCGUUAAUCGGAAUUACUGGGCGUAAAGCGUGCGCAGGCGGUUUUGUAAGUUUGUCGUGAAAUCCCCGGGCUCAACCUGGGAAUGGCGAUGAAGACUGCAAGGCUAGAAUCUGGCAGAGGGGGGUAGAAUUCCACGUAGCAGUGAAAUGCGUAGAGAUGUGGAGGAACACCGAUGGCGAAGGCAGCCCCCUGGGUCAAGAUUGACGCUCAUGCACGAAAGCGUGGGGAGCAAACAGGAUUAGAUACCCUAGUAGUCC